rnacentral:misc_RNA from 1 species
ACCGACGAGGGCGACUAUCAGAUCAAGAUGCGCAACAUCCGCCGCUUCCUGGAAGAGGGCGACAAGGUCAAGGUCAACAUCCGCUUCCGUGGCCGUGAAAUGAGCCACCAGGAGCUGGGUCGCGAGAUGGCUGCGCGCAUCGAGGCGGAGCUGGGCGAUGAAAUCGUCAUCGAGUCCCGUCCGCGCCUCGAAGGCCGCCAGAUGGUCAUGAUGAUCGCGCCGAAGAAGAAGUAAGACGAAGCAAAAGGCCGCCUAGUGCGGCCUUUUUGCUGUAUCAGGGGGGGAGUCCAUGUUUUGCAGGCGCUUUGUCGCA